AAAGCUGGAGAGUGUAGCUAAUAAUGACAAAGGACAGAUCAAGUUUCUAGGAGAUCUUGAGACUGGUUGGAAAAUGGGGAUGAAACCUCUAAGGAAGGCUUUGGGAAAGCUAAAGGCACAAGUUUGGACUGGAGAAGAUUCGGGAGUUUUUGUUGGCUGGAGACUCACUGCGACUGGGGUUGACAAAGAAGUUAGCGCAACCAUGGGCUCUCCUGACAGAGGUGUAGAAGAAGUCGCCUUGGGCUUGCCUGCAUGGCCACAUGAACACUGGGCUCCAUAAGAAGGUUAUUUAAGAGGGUCACUGACAAACUGGAGGCAGGGUAAGUGGUUGAGAAAUCAUGGUCUACAUCAGGGGUUAUAUGUCAUCAUGGUAACAUGAUGGCGCUCUUCACAUAAUUAAAUGGUCAGAAGGAUGAGGAGGUGCAUCAUCUAUGUGGAGAGGGGCAGAGCCAGAGGUAGGCCAGUGAAUGGAAACUAGAGGGAUGCAGAGUUUAGCUGUAAAAAUGGGGGCGGGAGGCCUUGUGAGGCAGUUUGCUUCUUCUCAUCAGAUCACAGUAGCCUGACCUCCUGGUGGGGCCUGCACAGGGGGUCCUGCACUGUGUGGGAUUGGAGCUAAGGGAGGUCACUUGACUGACACCAGCAAUCUAGGAAAUGAGAGAAUGUGUGUGAUGCAAACUAUAAAUGUUCUGUAAACCUAAGGUCAUACUGUUAGAGGGAGGAGACAGGGAAGAUGCCUAAGCUUUCCUUCAGCAAUCUGCACUUUCCACUGUUCCCAUGUAAGGGGUAAAAGCAUCUGUCUAUAUUCACUCUCCACUAGUCUUAGAGUCAGUCUAUGCUCUGCCCAUCCCUCUGAAUAUGACUGGAGAUAAUGAUGUUGCUUUGUCAAGACUCCUAAGCGUGUUUUAUUUCCAUCUCACAACUGAGGUCGUUGACGUACCAAAGACUUCAAGGUGGGGAAGAAAUUCAGAGGCAACUCCUGAAAAGGCUCACCCUUGAGUGUGAGUCUGUUCUAGGUAAGUCAAGUGAACUGAAGCUUUGUGAGCUUCGAUUUAUUGGGGUAUCCUUUUUUUGAAGGGAGCUGUUGAUUUAAGGGUUGAGGUUUUUCUCUUUCCUUUCUCUUUUUAGAAGUUCUUGGGUUACCUAAUUCAUCAGCUGAGCCAAUCGGGAGGAAAGGAAUUUAUCUUACAAACAGAACUACUUAGAUGCCUGAGUCAUGAACUCUGCAUCAGUAAAAACAAUUGGCAAAAUGAAGCUGGCUUCUUAGGCUGAGAACCUUGUGGAAAUGAAGCCUGAAGCUUCAGAAAUGAAACCAGAGAGGCCUCCAACUGAGGUGCCUUCCUGAAGGGUGUAUUUGCACUUCGGCAGGGAAAUAUCUGUGGCAGACACACCGGUGCUGGUUGUUCCCCGUAACCCACAGUUGGCUUUCAUCUGCACUCCCCCCCCCCAAGCCCCAGUCCAUCCUCUCUUGCUUGAAGAAUUGCUCCUGCCUCUGGCCAAACCACAGGGGUGUGCUCCUGAGACAGACUUCUUUCAAAAGGCCCUGCCCCACCCCUGCGCUGUCGGGUGGGCGGACACACGCCCAUCUACAAACUGGGCUGGCCCAAGCAGAGACUGUCUCCUGGAGGAUGGCGUUAGGCCUGGCCGCUCAGAUGGUCAGUGGCUGACUAGAGGUGGGCAUGAGGCAGAGCCAGGGUUGAAGAAGGCAUUUUCUGAGAUGCGCUUUCAAUCAAAUAAAAACCUCCCACUCAGUGAUAAGAGCUAAGAGGGGCGGCUGAUGUGGAUGUGGGGGCCUGGUGACUCCCUCCUUCCCCUCAACAACUGUGAUUUCCCUGGGAUGGGAUUGCUAAGAGUGAGUUUGUUUUCACAGAAUUUGACCACAACAAGAACCUGGAUGCUCUUGGAAUUUAUUAGACUCUUUGGCACUAAAAGAACAUAUAAGUGGUUUUAAGUUCAAAGUGAUAGUCAUGAGUAGGGCUUAUAAUCUUGAAUUGUGUAGUAUUUGAGACACACCGUU
ensembl:lncRNA